rnacentral:rRNA from 1 species
AGUGAACGCUGGCGGUAGGCCUAACACAUGCAAGUCGAACGGCAGCACAGUAAGAGCUUGCUCUUACGGGUGGCGAGUGGCGGACGGGUGAGGAAUACAUCGGAAUCUACUUUUUCGUGGGGGAUAACGUAGGGAAACUUACGCUAAUACCGCAUACGACCUACGGGUGAAAGCAGGGGAUCUUCGGACCUUGCGCGAUUGAAUGAGCCGAUGUCGGAUUAGCUAGUUGGCGGGGUAAAGGCCCACCAAGGCGACGAUCCGUAGCUGGUCUGAGAGGAUGAUCGGCCACACUGGAACUGAGACACGGUCCAGAGUCCUGCGGGAGGCAGCAGUGUGGAAUAUUGGACAAUGGGCGGAAGCAUGAUCCAGCCAUACCGCGUGGGUGAAGAAGGCCUUCGGGUUGUAAAGCCCUUUUGUUGGGAAAGAAAAGCAGCAGGUUGAUACCCCGCUGUUCUGACGGUACCCAAAGAAUAAGCACCGGCUAACUUCGUG